rnacentral:rRNA from 1 species
AACGCGAAGAACCUUACCUACCCUUGACAUGGUCGGAAUCCUGAAGAGAUUCGGGAGUGCUCGAAAGAGAACCGGCGCACAGGUGCUGCAUGGCUGUCGUCAGCUCGUGUCGUGAGAUGUUGGGUUAAGUCCCGCAACGAGCGCAACCCUUGUCCUUAGUUGCUACGCAAGAGCACUCUAAGGAGACUGCCGGUGACAAACCGGAGGAAGGUGGGGAUGACGUCAAGUCCUCAUGGCCCUUAUGGGUAGGGCUUCACACGUCAUACAAUGGUCGGAACAGAGGGUUGCCAACCCGCGAGGGGGAGCUAAUCCCAGAAAACCGUUCGUAGUCCGGAUUGCACUCUGCAACUCGAGUGCAUGAAGCUGGAAUCGCUAGUAAUCGCGGAU